rnacentral:lncRNA from 1 species
CCAUGGAAUGAGGAAAAAUUCUCAAUUUACAAGAAAAAUUGAACUAAAGUGAAGCAUCAAAGUGGGUGUUUCUCAUCAUCUUCUGCGAGAAAGAUAUCGCCAAAUAAGAAAUUAGAAAGGGAGAAGAAGCUUUUGGAGUUUGGUGUUGUUUUUGGGGGUGAGUCCAGUAAUGGUGGAAGAAGCAAGGGUAGAAGGGCUAUAACAUAUGGCCAAUAAAGAUAAAAAUAAUACGCUAGAAUGUUAGCGGGAUAAAUGACAAAGAUAAGAGAGUUAUGGUUAAUUUUCUACUAUGAAAAUGAUAGGCAGAUAUUGUUUGUUUAACCAAAACCAAGAUGAAAAGGGUGGAUCAUAACUGUAUCAAACAGAUUGGUGGUUCAAGGUAGUACGAAUGGGUUGAGGUCGAAUCAUAAGGCAAUAGUGGAGGAAUUUUAAUUUUUUGGGAUAAAAGAAAAUGGAA